AAAAGGUGGCUAUGCUACCGCUUUUGGAUGGGCCCGCGGCGCAUUAGCUAGUUGGUGGGGUAAAGGCUUACCAAGGCAAUGAUGCGUAGCCGAACUGAGAGGUUGAUCGGCCACAUUGGGACUGAGACACGGCCCAAACUCCUACGGGAGGCAGCAGUAGGGAAUCUUCCACAAUGGGCGAAAGCCUGAUGGAGCAACGCCGCGUGGGUGAAGAAGGUCUUCGGAUCGUAAAACCCUGUUGUUAGAGAAGAAAGUGCGUGAGAGUAACUGUUCACGUUUCGACGGUAUCUAACCAGAAAGCCACGGCUAACUACGUGCCAGCAGCCGCGGUAAUACGUAGGUGGCAAGCGUUAUCCGGAUUUAUUGGGCGUAAAGGGAACGCAGGCGGUCUUUUAAGUCUGAUGUGAAAGCCUUCGGCUUAACCGGAGUAGUGCAUUGGAAACUGGGAGACUUGAGUGCAGAAGAGGAGAGUGGAACUCCAUGUGUAGCGGUGAAAUGCGUAGAUAUAUGGAAGAACACCAGUGGCGAAAGCGACUCUCUGGUCUGUAACUGACGCUGAGGUUCGAAAGCGUGGGUAGCAAACAGGAUUAGAUACCCUGGUAGUCCACGCCGUAAACGAUGAAUGCUAAGUGUUGGAGGGUUUCCGCCCUUCA
rnacentral:rRNA from 1 species